CCUGGAAUAUUGCGCAAUGGGCGAAAGCCUGAUCCAGCAACGCCGCGUGAGUGAUGAAGGUCUUCGGGUCGUAAAGCCCUUUCGACCGGGACGAAA
rnacentral:rRNA from 1 species